CGUAGGUGGCAAGCGUUGUCCGGAUUUACUGGGCGUAAAGCGCGCGCAGGCGGUUCGGUACGUCCGGCGUGAAAGCUCCCGGCUCAACUGGGAGAGGGCGUUGGAUACGGCCGGACUGGAGGGCGGUAGAGGUCGUGGAAUUCCCGGUGUAGUGGUGAAAUGCGUAGAGAUCGGGAGGAACACCUGUGGCGAAGGCGGCCGACUGGGCCGUCCCUGACGCUGAGGCGCGAAAGCGUGGGGAGCGAACCGGAUUAGAUACCCGGGUAGUCCACGCCGUAAACGAUGUGCACUAGAUGUGGGGGUAUCGACCCCCCCGCGUCGUCGCUAACGCAGUAAGUGCACCGCCUGGGGAGUACGGCCGCAAGGCUA
rnacentral:rRNA from 1 species